UACAGAGGUCUCGAGCGUUAGGCGGAAUCACUGGGCUUAAAGCGUGUGUAGGCGGAUCGGCAAGUACCUUGUGAAAUCCCACAGCUUAACUGUGGAACUGCUUGGUAUACUGCCAGUCUUGAGUCAGCUAGGGGCUACCGGAACAAAUGGUGGAGCGGUGAAAUGCGUAGAUAUCAUUUGGAACGCCAAAGGUGAAAACAGGUAGCUGGGGCUGUGCUGACGCUGAGACACGAAAGCCAGGGGAGCAAACGGG
rnacentral:rRNA from 1 species